CCUACGGGUGGCAGCAGUGGGGCAUAUUGCACAAUGGGCGAAAGCCUGAUGCAGCAACGCCGCGUGAGCGAUGAAGGCCUUCGGGUUGUAAAGCUCUGUCCUCAAGGAAGAUAAUGACGGUACUUGCGGAGGAAGCCCCGGCUACUUACGGGCCAGCAGCCGCGGUAAUACGUCGGGGGCUAGCGUUAUUCGGAAUUACUGGGCGUAAAGGGUGCGUAGGUGGUUUCUUAAGUCAGAGGUGAAAGGCUACGGCUCAACCGUAGUAAGCCUUUGAAACUGGGGAUCUUGAGUGCAGGAGAGGAGAGCGGAAUUCCUGGUGUAGCGGUGAAAUGCGUAGAUAUUAGGAGGAACACCAGUUGCGAAGGCGGCUCUCUGGACUGUAACUGACGCUGAGGCACGAAAGCGUGGGGAGCAAACAGGAUUAGAUACCCCUGUAGUC
rnacentral:rRNA from 1 species